GACGAACGCUGGCGGCGUGCUUAACACAUGCAAGUCGAACGGAAAGGCCUGCUUUCCCUUGUGGAUUGCGGGUGCUCGAGUGGCGAACGGGUGAGUAACACGUGAGUGAUCUGCCCCCAACUUGGGUAUAAGCCUGGGAAACUGGGUCUAAUUACCGAUAGUACUGCAGGGUGGUGCCGGUGGUGGAAAACGAUUUUCUAGUAGUUGGGGAUGAGCUCGCGGCCUAUCAGCUUGUUGGUGGGGUAAUGGCCUACCAAGGCGGCGACGGGUAGCCGGCCUGAGAGGGUGGACGGCCACAUUGGGACUGAGAUACGGCCCAGACUCCUACGGGAGGCAGCAGUGGGGAAUAUUGCACAAUGAGCGGAAGCCUGAUGCAGCGACGCCGCGUGGGGGAUGACGGCCUUCGGGUUGUAAACUCCUUUCGACCGCGAGGAAGCCACCUGGUUGGAAGGGUGGUGACGGUAGUGGUAGAAGAAGCACCGGCUAACUACGUG
rnacentral:rRNA from 1 species